rnacentral:lncRNA from 1 species
GUUAGGUUAAAAGAGAGUCAAAUGUGGUUUUAGAGAUAUUAUGCUUGGUUAUCUUUUGACAGGAUUAGACGAGAAUUGAAUGAUGGAGAGUGAAGUAGGAAGGAGUUGGACUCAAGAAAGGAUGAAAAAGGUGCAAAGGAAGAAUCGCAGCCACCGCUCAGCGCCAGUUUCAGCGCUGAGCGCCAGCUUUGUGAAGAGAGCCAAUGUCAAACGCUUAAAAGCCAA